rnacentral:rRNA from 1 species
UACGAAGGGGGCUAGCAUUGCUCGGAAUCACUGGGCGUAAAGCGCACGUAGGCGGAUCUUUAAGUCAGGGGUGAAAUCCCGAGGCUCAACCUCGGAACUGCCUUUGAUACUGGGGAUCUCGAGUCCGGGAGAGGUGAGUGGAACUGCGAGUGUAGAGGUGAAAUUCGUAGAUAUUCGCAAGAACACCAGUGGCGAAGGCGGCUCACUGGCCCGGAACUGACGCUGAGGUGCGAAAGCGUGGGGAGCAACAGGG